CGGGGCUCAUCUCUGUGUGGAUAUGCGGCGGCCAGCGUCUCACGAGCAGACUGUGAUAACGGAGAGUAGUGAAGUUUGAGCAGGUGGAAACCAUGGCAGCUCCUUUCAGAUCAAGCUUGUGGAAGACUAUCCGAGAUACCUCAAAUCUUUUGAGCUAUUUCUGGAGCGCUCAUUCAUAAUACUCUACCAGACAUACUGGCAAGCGUUGGAGGGGGGAGAUCUGUUUUCAAUGUAAUGGGAGUAGGGAGUGGAGCAGGUGAGAUUGAUCUAGAGAUGCUAGCACAGCUACACCUGAAACAUCCACAGGGCAAAGUCGACAAUGAAAUGGUUGAUCCAACCAAUGACAUGCUGUAUAAAUAUAAAUGUACCAGUCAUUUUAUCAAAGCUCGUAUAAGCUAACCAUAUAUGCUUUUACUAAUUCUACCAAUAAAUGCCUUUUUGUCCUGUUCUCUAUCUGUUUAGUUCGAGUGUCAACAACUCCAGAUCUUGAUUAUGUAAACUUUACAUGGAAUAAAAUGACAGCACCUGAAUUUGAAAAACAAUUGACAAGAGAAAAACCCUGGGAAAAAGAUGGCCUUCGUUCACAUGAUUCAGAUGCCAUACUAUGUCAAAGAUCCAUUGGCUACUGUCUCAUUUUUUCGGAGUCUUCUACAUAAAGAUGGGAAACUGUUAAUCAUGGUGUCAGGUACAGUAAAUUCUGUUCAAGUUCAAAACUUC